rnacentral:lncRNA from 1 species
CUACCAACCCUUUGAAUGGCCAGAUGUUGAUAUUUUAUACACGGUCUGGACAAUCCAACUGAGGGUCUUGGUCUCACACGGCUAAUACUUGACCAGCUGAGAUAUCUCAGCACCUUUGAAGUCCAGAAACUCAGUGCAUGCAAAGCCCCCGCAAGUCUCUGUGCUGGAUCUUACAAGGAAUGAAGGCGUCACUCUAAACCUUCGGAGCCAGGGUGUGGUCAAUCAUGGGAUUGUUCCCAGGAAAUCCCUUUUGUUCCAGACCAGUCUGUCCACUCGGCGAGUGAGAAGACUGAAGAAGAUGGAUUUUAUUUUUCUACUCUUUUUGGGGAUGGGCGCACUGCCUUCAGCCUCUGGAAGAUACACCAUACUGGGGAUUGAUGGGAGAUGCGGAGGCUGAGUUUCGCCAGGCUAUCUAUCGUGAACUCCAGGGCUCCUGGGUCUGCUUCCCAAGCACCACGUCCAGCUUCUUACAUAGGUUCCUGGGAUCUGAACUCAGAACCUCAGGCUUGCACAGUAAGCACUUGGCUACUGAGCUGUCUCCCCAGCUCAUCUCUGC